rnacentral:lncRNA from 1 species
AAAAAAAAAGAAAGAAAGAAAAAUAAGCAUAGGCAUGUGUGGAGACCUGGAGGCAGGGCUGCCCCUCACGAACCAAUGCCAAGGAAACCAGAAGCAAACGUCCAGCAGCAGGGAGCGCAGGGCAUGUGAAACCGACACUGAGGAAACAGCCACGGGAGAGAGCACACAGGGAGAAAGAAAGGCUCGGGCGCUCCCUUGCUGUGGUUCAGGCCUGUUCUACCACCCCUGGGGUCACCAUCGCCCACGGACCUUCCUGCUGGGUGCCUGUAGCACGGCACCUCCUGACAGGUCAGGUUUAAGGGAAGUUUGCUGGAUAACUAAAAUGAGGCUGGGGGGAGGAGGGAGCAGGGAGGAGCUAGCCCACAGGAGCCAAUGCAGGCCUGACCCCACUGGUGCCGGACUGACUCAGAGAGAGUCAUUAGGGCAGCUUUCUCAGGCUGGAUGAGCACUGGGGGUUGGGGGCUUGCCCUGGCCCACCCCACCACUCAGGAAACCUUCCCUCAGCAGGACCUGCCCUGCACAGAUCAUGGGCAGCCUCCCUCUGCUCCCCACUUCCACAGCCCCAGACUCCAUCUCAACCGCAGCCAGGAGUCACUGCUAACACCACCAAGGACCUGUUCCUGCACCAGCACGGGCCAGCUCUGGGGCAGGUGCCCAGGACAGAGUCACGACUGGCAAGCAGACAAUAAACAACAGGCAAGAUGGACAGACUGAUUGCCGGGAGGAUGUGGCAGGAGGAACUGGAAUGGUGGUGGAGGAACCCCAGCCCUGGGGACAGACCUCCACCCGUGCACGGACCUCCAAGCUGGAGCCUGCUCUGGAACACUAAGGGCAGCACCAGAGGUUGAAGAGGGGCAGACGCAGGAACUUUGGGGACACGCUCGGGGAACAGUGAGAAAAGCCCUAGGCUGGGGCAGAGGAAGUCCUCGAUGGCACAAGCAUCAAGACACAAAGUGCAAGAAAUGUGCCUAAGACAAGAGGCAGUUCCAGGGCAGACCAGGGCCCCUGGAGAAGGGUGCUGCAAUCUAUCCUCACCGUCUGGAGCUCCCCUCCUGUCCCUUGGUAACCACACCAAAGAAAGAUAACAACAGUCUCUGCCUCGUGGGACACAGCGAGGGCCACCGUGCGCAGCCCACCGUCUGUGCACAGGGCAGGCCCAGAUGGCUGCUGCCACCAACCUGUGUCAUCCAGGAGUGCCUUUCUCAAGAGCCCUCAGUGCUUACCUAGCGUUGGCCUGCCCCACCUCGGGUUAAAUCAAAACCUCUUUGGUGGCUGGGCGCGGUGGCUCACGCCUGUAAUCCCACGGAGGCCGAGGCGGGCAGAUCACCUGAGGUCAGGAGUUGGAGACCAGCCUGGACAACAUGACAAAAUACCUCUCUACUAAAAAUACAAAAAAAAUUAGCCGGGCGUGGUGGCGCACACCUGUAAUUCCAGCUACUCGGGAGGCUGAGGCAGGAGAAUUGCUUGAACNNNNNNNNNNNNNNNNNNNNNNNNNNNNNNNNNNNNNNNNNNCACUGCACUCCAGCCUGGGCGACAGAGUGAGACUCCAUCUCAAAACAAAAAAACAACGCCUCUUUGGAACCAGCAGAGGAACAGACUCAGGCCCUAUUAGACUCCAGCCAUGCAAAGUUCUUAGUCACUGCCCACUGGGAGGGUGUGGACCUGAAAGGACACAGGGCCAGGGGAAAGCUCUUUCUGCUCAGCAGCUCCUGGAGAAGAGCGACCCUGUGCCGGGACACCCUUCCCCCUGCGGCACCCAGCGCAGCCCAUCUCUGAGGGAGUCCUGGCUCACAGCGUUUCUGACCGGAGUCACAGCCUGAACCCAGGCAAGAGGCGCCUGAGUGGGAACAACCCCUUCCUGGGGACCCCGCGGGCUCCCCAAGGGACACUUCAGACCCGGAAGGGAGGGGCAGCGCCCAGAGCGCCCUCUUGCAGCCCCGGGCACUGCGUGGCCACCGCCCCCUGACGGCCACGGCCCCAAAGGCGCGGCGCAGGGCCCGGCUCCCAGAGGGGCCACUCGGGGUGACGAACCGGGGUGGGGGCGGGUUCCUCCCGCUGCACCCCCACAACUUCCCCACUUCAUGCUCUUGCAAAGCCCCCGCAGAGGCUCGAAGGUGCCACGCGCGAGCGAGGCAAUCAGAAGGCACCGUGCGCCGCAGCACCUCCAAAUCCCAAGCCCUGGCCUCGCGGGUCGGGCAGGGCCACACCCCGAGCCGACAACAUAGACCAACUCGCACAGUCGAGCAGGCACACAGCCCGCCGGGCGCUCGAGGCCGAGGGCCCCACCCACUGGGGGCAGAGACCAAGGUCAACGCUGGGGGUGCGCACCCGGACUCCUUCCCCGGGCCCCGAGGAGCCUGCCGGCUUGGGCCAGGUCCGUCCUCCCGGCCGCUUCAAGCCCGCGGAGUUCCGCCCGGCACGUGGGAGAACGGGGCGCCGCCGCCUGGCCUCCGGGAGUGAGGGACUUGGGCUCGCGGCGGGGACGGACCACCCGCCCAGCUCGGCCGGAUCUGCAGCCCCUUCCGGCUCCACAGGAAGGAAUGCCUCCCCCGACCCUCUGACGCUGGGUC